GCAGAGCUGCUCUGUGGAUCAGUGGCGAACGGGUGAGUAACACGUGAGCAACCUGCCCUUGACUCUGGGAUAAGCGCUGGAAACGGCGUCUAAUACCGGAUAUGAGCUGCGAUCGCAUGGUCAGCAGUUGGAAAGAUUUUUCGGUCUGGGAUGGGCUCACGGCCUAUCAGCUUGUUGGUGAGGUAAUGGCUCACCAAGGCGUCGACGGGUAGCCGGCCUGAGAGGGUGACCGGCCACACUGGGACUGAGACACGGCCCAGACUCCUACGGGAGGCAGCAGUGGGGAAUAUUGCACAAUGGGCGAAAGCCUGAUGCAGCAACGCCGCGUGAGGGAUGACGGCCUUCGGGUUGUAAACCUCUUUUAGCAGGGAAGAAGCGAAAGUGACGGUACCUGCAGAAAAAGCGCCGGCUAACUACGUGCCAGCAGCCGCGGUAAUACGUAGGGCGCAAGCGUUAUCCGGAAUUAUUGGGCGUAAAGAGCUCGUAGGCGGUUUGUCGCGUCUGCUGUGAAAUCCCGAGGCUCAACCUCGGGUCUGCAGUGGGUACGGGCAGACUAGAGUGCGGUAGGGGAGAUUGGAAUUCCUGGUGUAGCGGUGGAAUGCGCAGAUAUCAGGAGGAACACCGAUGGCGAAGGCAGAUCUCUGGGCCGUUACUGACGCUGAGGAGCGAAAGGGUGGGGAGCAAACAGGCUUAGAUACCCUGGUAGUCCACCCCGUAAACGUUGGGAACUAGUUGUGGGGUCCAUUCCACGGAUUCCGUGACGCAGCU
rnacentral:rRNA from 1 species